rnacentral:rRNA from 1 species
AGAGUUCGAUUAUGGCUCAGGAUGAACGCUAGCGGCAGGCCUAACACAUGCAAGUCGAGGGGCAGCACAAAGAUAGUUUACUAUUUUGGUGGCGACCGGCGCACGGGUGAGUAACGCGUAUGCAACCUACCUUAUACAGGAGUAUAGCCCGAAGAAAUUCGGAUUAAUCCUCCAUAGUAUUCUUUAAUGGCAUCAUUUGAAGAAUUAAAGCUUCGGCGGUAUAAGAUGGGCAUGCGUCCUAUUAGCUAGAUGGUAAGGUAACGGCUUACCAUGGCAACGAUAGGUAGGGGGCCUGAGAGGGUGAUCCCCCACACUGGUACUGAGACACGGACCAGACUCCUACGGGAGGCAGCAGUGAGGAAUAUUGGGCAAUGGAGGCAACUCUGACCCAGCCAUGCCGCGUGCAGGAAGAAUGCCCUAUGGGUUGUAAACUGCUUUUAUUUAGGAAUAAACCUCUCUACGUGUAGAGAGCUGAAUGUACUAAACGAAUAAGCACCGGCUAACUCCGUGCCAGCCGCCGCGGUAAUAC